rnacentral:ncRNA from 2 species
UUAGCAACUGUGAUUGAUGGUUCCCGGGGCCAAGGCUUGGACCGGGAUGAAAAGGGAACACGGUAAGGUGUAGCCAACAGGCGCCGAGUCCGUGACUGCCCCCGCAACUGUAGGCGGCGAGCAAACCUGAAGACGGCCACUGGAGCGAUCCGGGAAGGCUCAGGGAUGCAGCGACCCGCAAGUCAGGAGACCUGCCAUCUGACUUUCACCCUC